rnacentral:rRNA from 1 species
ACCUGACUGCUAUCGGAUUGGUACUAAGCCAUGUGAGUCAUUGUAGCAAUACAAGGCAUACGGCUCAGUAACACGUAGUCAAUCUGCCCUAUGGACGUGGAUAACCUCGGGAAACUGAGAAUAAUCCGCGAUAGAUCAUAAUGCCUGGAACGGUUUAUGGUCCAAAUGAUUCGUCGCCAUAGGAUGGGACUGCGGCCUAUCAGCUUGUUGGUGAGGUAAUGGCCCACCAAGGCUAUUACAGGUACGGGCUCUGAGAGGAGAAGCCCGGAGAUGGGUACUGAGACACGGACCCAGGCCCUAUGGGGCGCAGCAGGCGAGAAACCUUUGCAAUGUGCGCAAGCACGACAAGGUUAAUCCGAGUGUUUCCUGCUAAAGGAAUCUUUUGUUAGUUCUAAAACCACUGAUGAAUAAGGGGUGGGCAAGUUCUGGUGUCAGCCGCCGCGGUAAAACCAGCACCUCAAGUGGUCAGGAGGAUUGUUGGGCCUAAAGCAUCCGUAGCCGGUUCUGUAAGUUUCCGGUUAAAUCCACUAGCUCAACUAAUGGGCUGCCGGAAAUACUGCAGAACUAGGGAGUGGGAGAGGUAGACGGUACUCGGGAGGAAGGGGUAAAAUCCUUUGAUCUCUUGAUGACCACCUGUGGCGAAGGCGGUCUACCAGAACACGUUCGACGGUGAGGGAUGAAAGCUGGGGGAGCAAACCGGAUUAGAUACCCGGGUAGUCCCAGCUGUAAACGAUGCAGACUCGGUGAUGCACUGGCUUUUGGCCAGUGCAGUGCCGCAGGGAAGCCGUUAAGUUUGCCGCCUGGGAAGUACGUACGCAAGUAUGAAACUUAAAGGAAUUGGCGGGGGAGCACCACAAGGGGUGAAGCCUGCGGUUCAAUUGGAGUCAACGCCGAAA